UGUCUCAAGUGUUCCGCCUCAGGCUGGGCCUGUGUCCCCUUCGUCUCCAGCGGAAGGCGUGUGUGGUAGAAAAGGAAAAGCCAACGCGCGUUCGUUCGUGUCGCCGGCGGCUACGAGGAUUUUGGGGUCCGUUAGACCCGCCGAAGGGAGGGAGAGAAGGAGCCGGCGGCGGAGGAGGGGUUUAGGUCGGGGAGAGGAGGAGGGAGGCCGGCGGCGGAGGGGAAGGCGGGCUAAACGUUCGCCGCCUACUCGCGCGUCCGCCUGGGGUCUAAGCGGGGAGAGGGGUGUCGCGUCAGGCUCCGACUACGGCCCCGUCUGCCCAUGGUCAAGGCCGACCAAAGGAUGUUGUAUGAGCGGGUCCAAAUACACUUCUCGCGUAAAAAAGGGGUAAGAGGUAGGCGCAGAGAAUUCACCUUUCGAGCAAGUUUUCGGCAAGAUUGUCUUGAAUUCUCAAAAUUACGACUGGAGUACACGUAUGUCCUCAACCUACUUAUACUCUGUAAGAUAUCCUUUUUGUACCUUUCAUGACCUAUAAGUUCAUAAAUACAGGUCGCUAGACCCCUGUUUGCCCUACCUACACCAUAUAAAAUAUUUGGUUUUUCACACCUUGACAAUGUCUUCCUUCAUUAUGUAAUGUUACUGAACCACCUUUGUACAGUAGAAUUACUAUUACAUUAAUCACGAGGGAGCUUAUUAAGAAGUGGUAGUCUUCUUAGAUCACCUUUCCUUCUAUUAUUCUUUGCACCUCUAGGUUUACUAGGUGCACACUCUAACUUCGCACUGACACAACCAAAUGAACGACGAAAGUUCGAACCGCUAGGAACACUCGUAUAAGAUUAACACCGCUUGUGUGUAUAAAUAACCCUAGGUCUUACCUAACUACACUUCAACCGAGUUCGUUUCAUAGAAGAAAGUUUUCAGAGACUCAAACUCUUUUAAUAGCGUUUAUUCAAGUGGACAUUUGGAAGACACUAGUAACGACCACUAAAAUUGAGGUGGGGACCACUAUUCCAUAUGUUAAUGGAACAUAGUCGAUCGAGGCUUAGAUGCCUGCUUCGGGACUAGUUUAACGUGUCGGACAUACGACUCUUGCCUCCCCUCGGCCUCAAGUGUUUAACGUGAGGUCCAAAAUGACCUUGUAACCUGAUGUAUAAGGACAGCCUUCCGCCAAGUCAUUUUGGAUGAUCGGAUGAAGCCUAGGGUGCUCCCCCAAGGGGCCUACACCUUCCUCCGGACGGGUUGAAGGUGGUAGGAUCACUAGUGAACGGUUAGCCACGGCUAAAGGUCCAUGAAUCGUCGAUCGAUCGAUCACGGAUCCCGCCGGCCAACGUAAAAAGCUGACACCGCCGUUUACCGGGAGCUUGACAACCGGUACCAGACGCACGUCAGAUCCAAUUAGUAUUCCGACCCCACGUACGUUACUGUAGAGUGUCGGUGUAAAAGACCAGCAAGAAGUCUUCGUUAAACAGUUAACUAUUACCACAUGAAACAAAGGAAAACACGCACGCACUACCAUACUUACACUUCUUUGUACGCGGAAAACCAUAAGCCGGUUUCUCGCAAAUGUGUGUUCUAAACGUUCAUUCGUCGACAUGAUUUAGU
rnacentral:rRNA from 1 species